rnacentral:rRNA from 1 species
CACGUAGGGUGCGAGCGUUGUCCGGAUUUAUUGGGCGUAAAGAGCUCGUAGGCGGUGCGUCGCGUCGGCCGUGAAAACUUGGGGCUUAACUCUGAGCUUGCGGUCGAUACGGGCAUCACUUGAGUUCGGCAGGGGAGACUGGAAUUCCUGGUGUAGCGGUGAAAUGCGCAGAUAUCAGGAGGAACACCGGUUGCGAAGGCGGGUCUCUGGGCCGAUACUGACGCUGAGGAGCGAAAGCGUGGGGAGCGAACAGG